AGAGUUUGAUCCUGGCUCAGGAUGAACGCUGGCGGCAUGCCUAAUACAUGCAAGUCGAACGAGAGGAAGGAAAGCUUGCUUUCCUGAAUCUAGUGGCGAACGGGUGAGUAACACGUAGGUAACCUGCCCAUGUGCCCGGGAUAACUUCUGGAAACGGAUGCUGAAACCGGAUAGGUAGCAGACAAGCAUUUGACUGCUAUUAAAGUGGCCUUGGCCAUGAACAUGGAUGGACCUGCGGUGCAUUGGCUGGUUGGUGAGGUAACGGCCCACCAAGGCGACGAUGCAUAGCCGGCCUGAGAGGGCGGACGGCCACAUUGGGACUGAGACACGGCCCAAACUCCUACGGGAGGCAGCAGUAGGGAAUUUUCGUCAAUGGGGGAACCCUGAACGAGCAAUGCCGCGUGAGUGAGGAAGGUCUUCGGAUCGUAAAGCUCUGUUGUAAGAGAAAAACGGCACUCAUAGGGAAUGAUGAGUGAGUGAUGGUAUCUUACCAGAAAGUCACGGCUAACUACGUGCCAGCAGCCGCGGUAAUACGUAGGUGGCGAGCGUUAUCCGGAAUGAUUGGGCGUAAAGGGUGCGUAGGUGGCAGAUCAAGUCUGGAGUAAAAGGUAUGGGCUCAACCCGUACUGGCUCUGGAAACUGAUCAGCUAGAGAACAGAAGAGGACGGCGGAACUCCAUGUGUAGCGGUAAAAUGCGUAGAUAUAUGGAAGAACACCGGUGGCGAAGGCGGCCGUCUGGUCUGGAUUCUGACACUGAAGCACGAAAGCGUGGGGAGCAAAUAGGAUUAGAUACCCUAGUAGUCCACGCCGUAAACAAUGAGAACUAGGUGUUGGGGGAAUAACUCAGUGCCGCAGUUAACGCA
rnacentral:rRNA from 1 species